UACGGGGGGGGCAAGCGUUGUUCGGAAUUACUGGGCGUAAAGGGCUCGUAGGCGGCCAACUAAGUCAGACGUGAAAUCCCUCGGCUUAACCGGGGAACUGCGUCUGAUACUGGAUGGCUUGAGUUUGGGAGAGGGAUGCGGAAUUCCAGGUGUAGCGGUGAAAUGCGCAGAUAUCAGGAGGAACACCGGUGGCGAAGGCGCCACUCUGGGCCGGUACUGACGCUGAGACGCGAAAGCGUGGGGAGCGAACAGG
rnacentral:rRNA from 1 species